GAUGUGGCUCAGCUGUAGAGCACUUGCCUAGCGUGCAUGAGGCUCUGGGUUUGAUACUCAGCAUC
rnacentral:tRNA from 1 species